CGGUCAUGACUUUGUGAACGGGUGUUAGAUCGUCAGCUCGGCCUUGGGUCUUUAGCUCGGUAAGAACUUGUUGGAUUGCUCCCGUGAGCUUCUUGGUACGCGACCUGGUCAUCGGUCCAGUUGGCAUGGCCAGGACGUCGUUCUGGUCGGCUCCUCGGUCUUGUACCCCGUCCUGAACCUCGUCUUCGUUUAGCUCGGCCACUUGGUCUUGUGUUCCGGGCUGAACCUCG
rnacentral:lncRNA from 1 species